UUUCCGUAGGUGAACCUGCGGAAGGAUCAUUACACACUGCGCGACACCUGCCGCCCACAGCGGUAGGUGAAGCACAGCCAACCCUUGUCUAUUACUACCAUUUGUGAAUCCCUCGGCAGGGACGCCUGCCGCUGGGACCCCUAAACUCUUCUGUAUACAAGCAUAAAAACAUUCUGAAUCAAAUCAAAUUAUUACAACUUUCAACAAUGGAUCUCUUGGUUCUGGCAUCGAUGAAGAACGCAGC
rnacentral:misc_RNA from 1 species